AUACGGAGGGUGCAAGCGUUACUCGGAAUCACUGGGCGUAAAGCGCGCGCAGGCGGCUAUUUAAGUUGGAUGUGAAAGCCUACGGCUCAACCGUAGAACUGCAUCCAAAACUAUUUAGCUAGAGUGUGAGAGAGGAAGAUGGAAUUAGUUGUGUAGGGGUAAAAUCCGUAGAGAUAACUAGGAAUACCAAAAGCGAAGGCAAUCUUCUGGAACACUACUGACGCUGAGGCGCGAAAGCGUGGGGAGCAAACAGAAUUAGAUACCCUAGUAGUCC
rnacentral:rRNA from 1 species